rnacentral:rRNA from 1 species
GACGAACGCUGGCGGCGUGCCUAAUACAUGCAAGUAGAACGCUGAAGGAGGAGCUUGCUUCUCCGGAUGAGUUGCGAACGGGUGAGUAACGCGUAGGUAACCUGCCUGGUAGCGGGGGAUAACUAUUGGAAACGAUAGCUAAUACCGCAUAAUAGCAGUUAUUGCAUGAUAACUGUUUGAAAGGUGCAAAUGCAUCACUACCAGAUGGACCUGCGUUGUAUUAGCUAGUUGGUGGGGUAACGGCUCACCAAGGCGACGAUACAUAGCCGACCUGAGAGGGUGAUCGGCCACACUGGGACUGAGACACGGCCCAGACUCCUACGGGAGGCAGCAGUAGGGAAUCUUCGGCAAUGGACGGAAGUCUGACCGAGCAACGCCGCGUGAGUGAAGAAGGUUUUCGGAUCGUAAAGCUCUGUUGUAAGAGAAGAACGAGUGUGAGAGUGGA